rnacentral:rRNA from 1 species
UACGGAGGGAGCUAGCGUUGUUCGGAAUUACUGGGCGUAAAGCGCACGUAGGCGGCGAUUCAAGUCAGAGGUGAAAGCCCGGGGCUCAACCCCGGAACUGCCUUUGAAACUAGAUUGCUAGAAUCCUGGAGAGGUUAGUGGAAUUCCGAGUGUAGAGGUGAAAUUCGUAGAUAUUCGGAAGAACACCAGUGGCGAAGGCGACUAACUGGACAGGUAUUGACGCUGAGGUGCGAAAGUGUGGGGAGCGAACAGG